rnacentral:rRNA from 1 species
GAUGAACGCUGGCGGCGUGCCUAAUACAUGCAAGUCGAGCGAACGGACGAGAAGCUUGCUUCUCUGAUGUUAGCGGCGGACGGGUGAGUAACACGUGGAUAACCUACCUAUAAGACUGGGAUAACUUCGGGAAACCGGAGCUAAUACCGGCUAAUAUUUUGAACCGCAUGGUUCAAAAGUGAAAGACGGUCUUGCUGUCACUUAUAGAUGGAUCCGCGCUGCAUUAGCUAGUUGGUAAGGUAACGGCUUACCAAGGCAACGAUGCAUAGCUGACCUGAGAGGGUGAUCGGCCACACUGGAACUGAGACACGGUCCAGACUCCUACGGGAGGCAGCAGUAGGGAAUCUUCCGCAAUGGGCGAAAGCCUGACGGAGCAACGCCGCGUGAGUGAUGAAGGUCUUCGGAUCGUAAAACUCUGUUAUUAGGGAAGAACAUAUGUGUAAGUAACUGUGCACAUCUUGACGGUACCUAAUCAGAAAGCCACGGCUAACUACGUG